GAUGAAUGCUGGCGGCGUGCCUAACACAUGCAAGUCGAGCGGAAAGGCCCUUCGGGGUACUCGAGCGGCGGACGGCUGAGUAACGCGUGGGAACAUACCCCAAAGUGAGGGAUAACCGCCCGAAAGGGUGGCUAAUACCGCAUAUGAUCUUCGGAUUAAAGGAUUUAUCCGCUUUGGUAAUGGCCUGCGUAUGAUUAGAUAGUUGGUGAGGUAAAGGCUCACCAAGUCUACGAUCAUUAACUGGUCUGAGAGGAUGAUCAGUCAGACUGGAACUGAGAUACGGUCCAGACUCCUACGGGAGGCAGCAGUGAGGAAUCUUCCACAAUGGGCGAAAGCCUGAUGGAGCAACGCCGCGUGCAGGAUGAAGGCCUUCGGGUCGUAAACUGCUUUUAUAAGUGAAGAAUAUGACGGUAACUUAUGAAUAAGCACCGGCUAACUACGUGCCAGCCGCCGCGGUA
rnacentral:rRNA from 1 species